GAGGGUAUAGCUUAGUGGUAAAGUGCAUGCCCGGCAUGCACAAGGUCCUGGGUUUAAUUCCCAGUACCUCCA
rnacentral:tRNA from 1 species